GAUGAACGCUGGCGGCGUGCCUAAUACAUGCAAGUCGAGCGAACAGACGAGGAGCUUGCUCCUCUGACGUUAGCGGCGGACGGGUGAGUAACACGUAGAUAACCUACCUAUAAGACUGGGAUAACUUCGGGAAACCGGAGCUAAUACCGGAUAAUAUAUUGAACCGCAUGGUUCAAUAGUGAAAGACGGUUUUGCUAUCACUUAUAGAUGGAUCUGCGCCGCAUUAGCUAGUUGGUAAGGUAACGGCUUACCAAGGCGACGAUACGUAGCCGACCUGAGAGGGUGAUCGGCCACACUGGAACUGAGACACGGUCCAGACUCCUACGGGAGGCAGCAGUAGGGAAUCUUCCGCAAUGGGCGAAAGCCUGACGGAGCAACGCUGCGUGAGUGAUGAAGGUCUUCGGAUCGUAAAACUCUGUUAUUAGGGAAGAACAAAUGUGUAAGUAACUGUGCACGUCUUGACGGUACCUAAUCAGAAAGCCACGGCUAACUACGUG
rnacentral:rRNA from 1 species